AAUGGAGACGUGAAAGAAAAGAAAGGACAAAGUGUACCAAAGAGAAAGAUUAAAAAGAGGUGCACCCCAACAGUCCCCAAGUCCCUCUGAAGAAUUCCCCUGUGAUAUUCAGCCCCUGACACUGGCUACUCAUCGAAAUCUCAGAUCCUCUGCUCCCAAAGGAACAAGACAGAGCGAUCCCUUGCCCGUUGUAAUUUUCCUUUUUUACCUCCAAGUGGUUUCAAUUGUUUGCAGUUCUCUUUGAUGGUUUUCUACUGAGUGUUCUGGGAUGGGACAAGGGCAGACGACUGAACCUUGCACUACAUCACCAGCUAACCAGAGAGAGGCAACAGCUCCCUCCCACUUGAAUGGGCCAUCACUAAUUCCCUGGUGACCAAUUUCUACUCCAAUACCAUAAGGCACAGUUUUCAACAUAAUUACAUUUAUUCCUUAAAUAUACCUGUACACAUCUUGCAAUGAUUAUGAGUAGGACUCUGUGUCUGUCACAGAGGUCGCAGAAGUCACAGAUUCCAUGACUUUCCAUGACCUCUGACUUGUACAGUGCCAAGGUGAUGACCCCAGGGCUGCCCAGGCUGCUCAGAUGGCCCUGGGGACCGCUCGAGCAGUGGCCAAUGCAACUGACCUGGGGACUGCCUGAGCAGUGGUCCCGGGGCAGCUGGAGCAGCCACUGUUUGGUUGCCCCAGUAGCUGGUGCUACUGGUCUUGGGGUGCAGCCCUCACCCUA